rnacentral:rRNA from 1 species
GAUGAACGCUGGCGGCGUGCCUAAUACAUGCAAGUCGAGCGAAGCGGGGACGGGUGAGUAACACGUGGCUAACCUCCUAUAAGACUGGGAUCACUUCGGGAAACCGGAGCUAAACCGGAUACUUAUAGAUGGAUCCGCGCUGCAUUAGCUAGUUGGUAAGGUAACGUCUUACCAAGGCAACGAUGCAUAGCCGACCUGAGAGGGUGUGCGGCAACACUGGAACGGUGACACUUUCCAUACUCAUCUGGUACGCCGCAGUAGUGAAUCUUCCGCAAUGGGCGAAAGCCUGACGUAGUAUCGCCGCGUGAGUGAUUAAGCCCUGCGGAUCGUAAAACCCUGGUAUUAGUGAAGCGGUACCUAACCAGAAAGCCACGGCUAACUACGUGCCAGCAGCCGCGGUAAUAC